rnacentral:rRNA from 1 species
GAUGAACGCUGGCGGCGUGCCUAAUACAUGCAAGUCGAGCGAACAGACGAGGAGCUUGCUCCUCUGAUGUUAGCGGCGGACGGGUGAGUAACACGUGGAUAACCUACCUAUAAGACUGGGAUAACUUCGGGAAACCGGAGCUAAUACCGGAUAACAUGUUGAACCGCAUGGUUCAACAGUGAAAGACGGUCUUGCUGUCACUUAUAGAUGGAUCCGCGCCGCAUUAGCUAGUUGGUAAGGUAACGGCUUACCAAGGCAACGAUGCGUAGCCGACCUGAGAGGGUGAUCGGCCACACUGGAACUGAGACACGGUCCAGACUCCUACGGGAGGCAGCAGUAGGGAAUCUUCCGCAAUGGGCGAAAGCCUGACGGAGCAACGCCGCGUGAGUGAAGAAGGCCUUCGGAUCGUAAAACUCUGUUAUUAGGGAAGAACAAAUGUGUAAGUAACUAUGCACGUCUUGACGGUACCUAAUCAGAAAGCCACGGCUAACUACGUG